rnacentral:lncRNA from 1 species
CCCACCACACAGCCGCAUCUCCUCUCCUCGCGUUCUCUCCGCAUCCUCCACCAUCAGCGCCGCAUCUCCUCCUCGGCGUCCUCGCGCUCUCUCGCCCCCUCGCCGCCGUGCGCCUCCCCCUCGCUCCCUCGCCGCCGUGCGCCGGAUUUUUCAUUGAAUCGACGCGCUCCUCCUCCGGACUAGGGAGGGGAGGCGCGGCGAUGGGCGCCGGCGCGGCGAUGUGGGGGAGGCGCGACGAGGGAGGGGUGGCGAGGCGAUUUUUCGCAAUACGGAGGGGCGCGCGGUGCGAUGGUGGUGCGGACUACGGAGGAGGGUCGCGCCUCCCCCACAUCGCCGCGCCGGCGCCCACCGCUCUCCACCGCGUCUCCGCCGCCCAUCGCUCUCCACCGCGCCGCCAUUGCGCCUACGCCCUCCCUCUCUUUCAGGUCGCCUCCCCCGCCGAUUACCUCGCGAUUCCCAACCCUAACCCCCGCCGCCCCUGCUGCCCAGGAUCCCCCCGCCUUUUCUCCUUCCGCCCACCUGCCACCGACGCCGCCACCCCUGGCAGUGACUCCUCCUCCCCGCCGCCAACGCCACCGCCGUCGACGCCUACUCCUGUGGCAGUGUGGAGGACUGCUGCUUCCCUGUCUCCAUCAGAUACUCUGUGCCUUGCCCUGGCACGGGAUAAUCCUUCACGUGGCACAGACUACACCACCGGCAACCUCGUCCAUGGCGCACUCACCUCCCUAAGACUAUUUACUAAACAGGUUAUGGAGACAGAAACGGGUGACUUUUGUUAACUAAAUUUGCACGAUCUCUUAACAAUUUGUAGUGCGGCGAAGAAGAAUUUCUUAAGUGUGUCACAAGUGAUUAUAUAUAACUAAUUCUUGUAAAGAUUUAUUCUGUCCACGUAAUAUGAUCAUAAAAAUAUUUGUUUUGCUAACAUGAAGUAUUAAAAAUUAUUAAAGAUAAAUUGAAUUGCACCGUAGCGUUUAGCACGGGUAUAUUACUAGUACUAUCUAGUA